GGGCCUGUAGCUCAGCGGCUUGAGUACCAGCCAUGUAUACUGGAGUUGGUGGGUUCAAAUCCAGCCUGGGCCA
rnacentral:tRNA from 1 species